rnacentral:rRNA from 1 species
UAGAGUUUGAUCCUGGCUCAGAUUGAACGCUGGCGGCAGGCCUAACACAUGCAAGUCGAGCGGCAUCGGGAGGAAGCUUGCUUCCUCGCCGGCGAGCGGCGGACGGGUGAGUAAUGUCUGGGGAUCUGCCCGAUGGAGGGGGAUAACCACUGGAAACGGUGGCUAAUACCGCAUAACGUCGCAAGACCAAAGUGGGGGACCUUCGGGCCUCACACCAUCGGAUGAACCCAGAUGGGAUUAGCUAGUAGGUGGGGUAAUGGCUCACCUAGGCGACGAUCCCUAGCUGGUCUGAUAGGAUGACCAGCCAACUGGAACUGACAACGGUCCAGACUCCUACGGGAGGCAGCAGUGGGGAAUAUUGCACAAUGGGCGCAAGCCUGAUGCAUCCAUGCCGCGUGUGUGAAGAAGGCCUUCGGGUUGUAAAGCACUUUCAGCGAGGAGGAAGGUGGUGAGCCUAAUACGCUCAUCAAUUGACGUUACUCGCAGAAGAAGCACCGGCUAACUCCGUGCCAGCAGCCGCGGUAAUACGGAGGGUGCAAGCGUUAAUCGGAAUUACUGGGCGUAAAGCGCACGCAGCGCGGUUUGUCAAGUCAGAUGUGAAAUCCCCGAGCUUAACUUGGGAACUGCAUUUGAAACUGGCAAGCUAUAGUCUCGUAGAGGGGGUGUAGAAUUCCAGGUGUAGCGGUGAAAUGCGUAGAGAUCUG